UACGGAAGGCAGCAGUGGGGAAUAUUGCACAAUGGGCGCAAGCCUGAUGCAGCCAUGCCGCGUGUAUGAAGAAGGCCUUCGGGUUGUAAAGUACUUUCAGUCGUGAGGAAGGUGUUAAGGUUAAUAACCUUAGCAAUUGACGUUAGCGACAGAAGAAGCACCGGCUAACUCCGUGCCAGCAGCCGCGGUAAUACGGAGGGUGCGAGCGUUAAUCGGAAUUACUGGGCGUAAAGGGCACGCAGGCGGUUAAUUAAGUUGGAUGUGAAAUCCCCGGGCUUAACCUGGGAAUGGCAUUCAAGACUGGUUAGCUAGAGUCUUGUAGAGGGGGUAGAAUUCCAUGUGUAGCGGUGAAAUGCGUAGAGAUGUGGAGGAAUACCGGUGGCGAAGGCGGCCCCUGGACAAAGACUGACGCUCAUGUGCGAAAGCGUGGGGAGCGAAACAGGGAUUUAGAUAC
rnacentral:rRNA from 1 species